AAAUUGAAGAGUUUGAUCAUGGCUCAGAUUGAACGCUGGCGGCAGGCCUAACACAUGCAAGUCGAACGGUAACAGGAAACAGCUUGCUGUUUCGCUGACGAGUGGCGGACGGGUGAGUAAUGUCUGGGAAACUGCCUGAUGGAGGGGGAUAACUACUGGAAACGGUAGCUAAUACCGCAUAAUGUCGCAAGACUAAAGAGGGGGACCUUCGGGCCUCUUGCCAUCGGAUGUGCCCAGAUGGGAUUAGCUAGUAGGUGGGGUAACGGCUCACCUAGGCGACGAUCCCUAGCUGGUCUGAGAGGAUGACCAGCCACACUGGAACUGAGACACGGUCCAGACUCCUACGGGAGGCAGCAGUGGGGAAUAUUGCACAAUGGGCGCAAGCCUGAUGCAGCCAUGCCGCGUGUAUGAAGAAGGCCUUCGGGUUGUAAAGUACUUUCAGCGGGGAGGAAGGGA
rnacentral:rRNA from 1 species